AUCCCAAUUUAGUAUAUUUUCUGAACGAUGGCUUUAUUCAAGAGGAGCUUCUGAGCUUUAUUGGUAGCUGCUUUUCUCUGGGCACUUUGGUAGGUCUAAUUUCUGGAGACAUCAUUUGGGGAGAGCGACAGGGAAACAAAGAAGGGGCCUUCUGGCAUGGGGAAAUAGAUUCAGGGGGGCAUAAAGAAUGGCUCUCUCCUGUCACAUCUACCACUCAGCAGCGAGUUCAUUCCUGCCUCGAGCUGCACUCUGUUAGGAAUCUGAGGCAGCUGGCUGUGGGGCCAGCGUCCAGAGAAUGCCCAUUUUGCAGGCUGGGUGCUGUCCUCAGAGGGCACAGGUCCUCACCAUGGUGUUACAAGUGGGGUGGGUCUGCGACUCGAGUUCUUCACCUAACUGUGAUCCUGCUGAGGAACACUGUUCCCUAAGCCCCCAGGCAUGUGGAAUCUGAGGGUUAAUCUCAAUGAAGCAGAGUAGGAGGGUGGCUAUCGGGGGCUCAGAGAUGCUGGCCCAAGGAUGUAUGGUGACUAGGGAAAGGUGCAAAGAGAUGCGUCAACGUAAGCAAACAAAGACCAGAAGUGAUACCACGCAGGGAUGAGAAAAACCAGGAGUGUGGCAGCUAAUGGUCCAUGGCUCUUCUGUAUGUGCUCCUUGACUGCUUGGCUCUACGAAUCCUGACUUGCAGGAAUCUAGGGUUCAGCCAUUCCAGGCAAGGGGCUGUGCCACAGAGGUCUUCCCUACUCAGAGCCACUCUGUGUAGCUUGUGUGAAUGGUAAGUGCAGCUGGUCCUCUUUGUGCCAGGAAGGGAGGUUUACUCCUAGUGAGGGCUGCUCUCUCUAUCAGCAAGUGACUAUUCUAAGUAAAUUCUUCAGGAAAGACAGGACGUGGGUUUAUCUGGGGAUAUGCCUGUUUCCCUAGGAAAUUAGUAAUUUUACUGAAACUGUCUUUUGCCUAGCCCUGCACAGACAUGCAGAUGACGUUGCUGGGGUGUCAGUGAGUGUGAGUGUUCUCUCCUUCAUGUCCCCCUAUACCCAAAGAGCCAAUGGCAGAGAGCCCCAAUCAUGCAGUUCAGGCUCUCUGGCAGCAAAAGACAAGCUUGGGUGCAUAUUGGCUGUAGUUCAUUCCCCAAAGCCAGUUUUAUUAAGCAGCCCUGUUUAGUGAAUUGCAUGGGUCCGCCCCCGAGCCCAGGAUGCUGGUGGGACCACCUCCUGGUUGGUUCCUUUGUGUAGGCAGCUGGUGCUCCAGUGUGUGGCAAGCCUUGACCUUUUCAGCUUGCUUUGAUUUGGGCCCCUGAGUGGAAACAGUGAUUGUAGCUGCCAACACGUCAUCAGGCAAAUGGUUACGAGAAGGAAGGGGGAAAGGACAGCCAGUCCUCUUUGUACACACUUAACCAGAGCAAAGGCAAUGUUUGAGGACAAAGGGUCAAUCUGUGCUGUAGGCACAAGGAAGAAGCAAAGAGUGAGCAGGCAGUAGGACCUCCCCCAGAGCUCGCAGAAGCAAAGAGUGAGCAGGUGUUAGGACCUCCCCGAGAGCUUGCAGGGGCACCGGUCCACUCUGUUAGUGGUGGGACAGUGGCACCUUUACUUCAUUCAGGUGUGGCACUGACUGAAGCUGUCCCUUGCCCAGCCCUGCACAGGCAUGCAGGUGACGUUACCAGAGAACUGGAGGAUCACCUUCCCAAAGAAUGAGGCAGAAACCACAGGAGAGCUUUGAAGGGGACAAGAAACAAACCUUGAAGGGUCCAGCACAGAGCACAAGACCUGGUUUUUCUUGGUUCUGUCUUUUCAGGCUUUUAUUGAGAUGACUGUGAAAAUUGCUUUCUUUUUUUUUCAGAUAACAUGAACUUUGGGAACAACAACAACAAAAAAAAUUACUCCACCUUCUCAUGCCAGAAUUCUGUUACUGUUUGCUUUUAACUUUAGAACGCUCAAACACUGUUCUCUGUGGCUCCAAACUUGAGUAUUUGUGGCUGUCAUUGAGGUUCUGUUUCUCUCUCUAUGGUCACCAGUGGGAAGUUAUUGGCCAAAUACCUGACAAGAAGAAAUUAAUGGCAGGAGGGUUUACUUUGGCCCAGUUUGAACCCACACGACACUCAGGAGGAGGUACAAUAAGACUUUGUGAUGCCAAUGUGUAUUGGCUUUCUUAUGAUGCUUGCCUUAUGCCUGACAUGGGAAAGAUGUAAUUUAAGAAGUAAAGGAAUGGUGGAGUUCAUGCUGCUCUUGCAGAAGACCACAGUCAGUUCCCAUCACCCACCUGUGUCUUCAGCUCCAGGGAAUCAGAACCUUCUUCUGACCAAGGUGUGCACUCAAAUGCAGGUGCACCAAAUUCGUGCACAAAUAAGUAAU
rnacentral:lncRNA from 1 species